rnacentral:rRNA from 1 species
AAUGUUCACCUUCGUGCUUCUGAUGGUGAGCCCUUGUCUGACCCGACACGUUAUCGUCAUCUUGUUGGGAGUCUUGUGUAUCUUGCUGUCACUCGUCCGGAUAUCUCCUAUCCUGUCCAUAUUCUAAGUCAGUUUGUUUCUGCUCCCACUUCAAUUCACUAUAGUCACCUUUUUCGCGUUCUACGAUAUCUUCGUGGCACGAUCUCUCAUCGUCUCUUUUUCCCCCGUUCCAGCUCGUUACAGCUCCAGGCCUAUUCGGAUGCUACGUGGGCUAGUGAUCCUACGGAUCGCCGUUCACUUUCUGCCUACUGUGUCUUUCUUGGUGGUUCCCUCAUUUCCUGGAAGACGAAGAAACAGACUGCAGUUUCUCGUUCGAGUGCAGAGGCCGAGUUGCGAGCUAUGGCUCUUUUGACGGCUGAGGUGACUUGGUUACGAUGGUUACUGGAGGAUUUUGGUGUUUCUGUUACUACACCUACCACCCUCCUAUCAGACAGCACAGGUGCUAUUAGUAUUGCGCGGGACCCCGUGAAGCAUGAGCUUACCAAACACAUUGGUGUAGAUGCUUCUUAUGUGCGCGCUGCUGUG